UACGAAGGGAGCUAGCGUUGUUCGGAAUCACUGGGCGUAAAGCGCGCGCAGGUGGCUUUUUAAGUUAGAAGUGAAAGCCUGGGGCUCAACCCCAGAACUGCUUUUAAGACUGGAGAGCUAGAGUGUGGGAGAGGAUAGCGGAAUUCCGUGUGUAGAGGUGAAAUUCGUAGAUAUACGGAGGAACACCGAUGGCGAAGGCAGCUAUCUGGAACACAACUGACACUGAGGCGCGAAAGCGUGGGGAUCAAACAGG
rnacentral:rRNA from 1 species